rnacentral:lncRNA from 1 species
CUCGCUCUCCACGGGAGUUGCAAGUCCUCGGCGCUCCGCCUUUCCGCAGCUAUUCGGUAGAACCUACGUGGCCUUCCACGCUGCUCUCCAAAAUACUCUGAAGCGGACUGAACGUUUCGACACUUCGCAAAAGAAAACAGCAAGGUUGUCAGACCGUUUCUACUGCGGGUUGGGCGUUUAUGUGAAGUACUCGGCAGAACGUGCACUGUGUAUUGUUAAUUAGCAUAUGUUGUAUGCAAACGUACAGGAAAGUCUUGGAAGCUUACAUACAAAAUAACAGCCACGGUUACAUUGGGAUUUGGAGAAACUUCUAAUGUUUUCUGUAUUUUUAUCAAGAGAGACAUAGUUUAAAAGUUAUUGUUUAUUACAAAAUAAUGAUUACAAGUGAAUUUUAUUAUUAUUAUUAUUAAAGACUUUUAAGGAAAACUGCUAGACCUGAGGGUAUGGAUCAGCAGCAAAGUGUUUGAAGCAAAGCAAAACUUCUGCCCCAGUUUGUCUUGCUGUUGAGUGGACUGUGCAAACAUGCUUUUCAGAAGGUCAUCUGAUUCUUCCUCUCUGUGGUGUAUGUGUGUGCGUAAGAGGGAGAGAGACAGAGAGAGAGAUAGAUAUCUCCAUCUCUAGGCAUUCUCCAAAGGCUGGUGUUCAAGCUCAAGGGGCCUGAUAUUAAUUCAAAAGACUAUCCCAACCUAAUCCCACCCUCAUUUUCUUAAAGUAACAGUGGUCAACUUUAUGUUUUAUGUAGCCCUUGAUGCUCUAUCACUGCAACUUAUUUUUAAAAGGGACAUGUUUCUUUCUCUGCUCUUCCUUAAUAUCUCUCCCUCUCUAAUCUCAGGGGAAACAGAAUUACCUUUCUUCCCCAUCGGAGGCAGUUAUCUGUCCUUAAGCACACACCCACCACCAGAAUGGAGUAAUUCAGACCUUGGGGAUAGCACCAGAAGAUUUCAAAAAUAACUCUCUCUCAAAUUAACAAGUGAAGUACAACUCUGGACAAAACAAGCGGAAUGUAGCCUUUGAAUUACCUCCAAAAAAAAAACCUGUUUCUUGGGAUGGGCAGAAUCAUAUCCUCUGGGAUUGGAGUCCCUUGUGCUUCUUUCUCCUUUACUAGCAAAGCAAGAAAACUUCUUUUUCGUUUUUCUCAAAACCAUGUCCUUGUUAUUGGAUUGGCAUCAGGGACAAGGACUGAAUUUUUGAUAACAUUAAUCUCCCCUAAAUGUUCUUGUUUUCACUAGAGAGUGUCAUUUAUAUCCAUCUUCCAUGAGACUUGAGUAUUUAAUGCACCCAUAGAGGCUUUACCUACUCUUAUCCAUUGAACCGACUAGCCAGCCUCCAGAGGUGGCAAGGUACCUAAGGCAGAGCAAGUUCUCUCCCCUCCCUCCCAGUCCUUUCCUAUCAAAAUCUCCAGAAAUGGGAUCCUAAAACUCAUGUUCAUCAAGUUCUCCAGGUGAUUCUGUACACACCAAAGCUUGCCUUCGUACCUUCCUUUGUUGGAAUUGAUUUAUUUUCUGCACACCUUGCCAGCUUUUAAGAUUUUUAUUUGUUGGAACAAUGUCUUAGACAUCAUCAGACUCCUCAUAAUGCUUACUGCUGGAGAUUCUUCCUACUGUGUCAUUUUUGGUUAUGAGGAAAAGGCCACAAAGCCUGUAUUUAUGAAGACAAAAACUAUAAAAGUUUACUUUGUAAAAUAGAAUUAAAAAUUUAGGAACAAUGGAAAUAAAUUUGUGUUAUCUUUUAUCUUAGAAUGGUGUUCUUGAGCUAUGUAUUAAUUCUUAGAAUAAAG